UGAUACGAUUCUAAAGCUUGC
rnacentral:siRNA from 1 species